UCCGAAAGCCCGGAGAGUCCAUGUAUCGGUGAAGUCUUCUGUGCGAUCUUCGAUCCCCUUUGUCUUCCUGUUCCGUCGAUUCCCUUUUUCUUCCUCUUCUCCGUUUAUUACGUUUCACAAAUCUUUAUCGUGGACGAUCAAUUUUAUCCCCACUCUACUGAACUUUAAAUCUCACUAAUGGAUCUUUAUCACUUUCUCCGUCCAGCUAUCGAUUUCAAAGGUAUGAUGUCGGGAUUUCGCCAUGCCGGUGUGUCCAAGAUCGGCGUUGGAUCCAUCACCUGUUACCGCCAGAUCCGCGCCUACGGAGUUGUCCCGCGGCCUUAAACGGUGGCUCUGAAACAGAGACCAACUCCGAAACCCUAGCUUCACGGAUCUGCUCAAGCCUCCAAUCGUCGCUUAGGUCUGAGAAUCACAAGCAGACGCACUCCCAAGACGGCGGGGAAUAAGCUGGACCGAAGAGAAACAAACGAGAGAGAACCGCCAUCCCUCACCGUAGAUUCGUCGACACCAUCUCCGUCCAGCUACGACCUCUGAACUUCAUCACUUAUUAAUUCAAUCUCCAUCAAUCAUCAAUCAUCUUCACCACCCUUAGCAUUCAGAAGUAUCUUCUGAUUAGCCAAUUAUAGCAGUGGAUCUCCCAAAUUCCUUUUAUCUCGCGUUUUCAGCGGUACUCAUACCAGCCACCGUGAUAACUAUCUCACUGGUGUCUCUGUUGGGGACUGUCCACGUUUAGGGUACAUCAAAGUUUAGAAAUUUGACGGAGUCAUUGCAUAUACACUUGGUGGAGUGCAGUCCCGCGUUGCAGAAACUUCAGCACCAGAACCUGAAGUGCACAGAAGAAAGUAGUUUGGAGAAGAAAGCUAUAAGUUCACUAGCUGGGACACCUGUGCACUGGCACACUACUCUUGAAGAGGUACCAUCAGGAGUACCAACAAUAAUCAUAGCUCAUGAGUUCUAUGAUGCUCUUCCAGUUCAUCAGUUUCAGGUUUGUGUGAUUUGCAAUAUAGUCUUCUCAUUUUUCCAGCUUGUGCUUCUCUUUCUGGUUAUUUUCUAUGUUCUGUGUAUGUUGCUUUCAAAGCAGUUCAUCUUGAAGAAACAACAUGAAGCUCUCCAGAAGCAACAAGGUCAGUCUUACGCACCUAAUGAAGAGAUGGAUGAGAGUCUUCAUGUAGCGACAAGUGGACGAUCACAUGGGCACGGGGAGUUUGAAUUCAGCGAGAUCUUUGUGCAUCGGUUUUUUCACACCAUAGAAUUUUUUGCUUAGAGCUGUUUCCAACACCUCUUCUUACCUGCGUAUAUGGGCUCUCAGUCUUCACACUCUGAGAUAUCGUCAGUCUUCUAUGAGACUAUGAGAAGGUCGCCCUUCUCGCUUGGGGUACAACAAUGUGUUGAUCCUGAUCGUUGGGAUCAUUGUUUUCAUAUUGUGGGAUUGCUGCUGGUGAUAGAGACACUGAGCACGUUCCUUCGCGCACUGCGUCUCCACUUGGUGGAGUUUCAGAACAAAUUCUAUGCUCAUUUCUCUUUCGUUCUCACCGGAAACGAAGACGAUUGAUAGGGAUGAAUGAUUGUUCCAUUCCUAUCCCAUUCUCUGCAAAAUUUGCAUAUAUAAAAAAGGAACAAGACAAACCAAGUUUUAUUUAUUUUCUGCGAAUAUAUUUUUCCCCUUCCACUUUCAGGGUGGGCAGAAUUAAAUAUGUUUAUUUUGUUUGCCUGUCUGGAGAUUAGAUUUUUUUAAACAACAGUAGAGAAGGGGCUAAUGGAAUUUGUAUAAGGCACAAUCCUUUUUGCGAGAGUCAAUCCUUUUUGAUGAGGUCCUAUAACAAAUUAAGGUGAGAGCCUGAGAGAGUUUGGCAUAUUAACUUUGCUUAGGGUUUUGUUUUUUUUCUUCAUCUGUUUUAGGAGUUGAAUAAUAUUUUGACAGACUUGAGUGUGCCAGUCUUUACUUAUGAGAUAUUAUGUGUGUUGAGCCAAAUAAAAUGUGUUUUGGUUCUAUACACGUGAUUGAAUAUUUCUCUUCUUUUUUUUUUACAUUUUGUGUGGAAGUACAUUUGCUUAUUGUUAGCUUGAGGUUCAGUUUCUAAUGUCACUCAGAUCACAAUGGAAUAAUAUAUAACAUUUCAGAUUUUUGCA